CCUACGGGGUAGACGCGGUUAGAGGCCAAGGUCAAGUUGAAAGUUGCUGUCUAGCCGACGAG
rnacentral:sRNA from 1 species